CAGUGGAGAAGUGCUCACUCUAUAUGGGGCAAAUGAAAAGAACUAUAGACAAAGAAAUGCCCCCCUCAACUUCCUUUACCUGGUUUUUAUAGAUCUGUAAUAUGUCUCCUCUGGAUCAUCUCUUUUCUAGACUGGAGAUCCUUAGUGGCUCAGUUCCCCUUCAUAUGGCUGGAAACAAAGAUGAUCUCUAAAGCAAGACCUCACUGUCACAGGAGGAGUGCUACAGCCUCUGAUCUUCCAGGUCUUUUGGAAUGGAUUCAAGUGCCACUUAAUCCAGUCCAUACUCUCCUGAUUUGCUGACGGAGAUUAGGUCAAAUUUCUCUUGUAGCUGGCUUGCAUUGAUUGGUUUGUAAGCCUGCAUGGUUUUGCUGUUUUGGUAUUAAUACUUAGGUGUAUUGUGCAAGUGGAAACUCACACAAGACAUUGCUAGUCCAUCCUCCGUGCUUUCACUCGAUAGUAUGACAUUGUUGCGGCAAGCCUUUAAUUGAGUUUUCCAAUUGAGACAAGAAACUACAGAAUCUGUAUUGGAUGGAGAAUUCCUUUGUUUUUUAUUUCCCAGAAAUGCUAGGGAGUAGCUUAGAGUAGGAAUUGUUAAAUUUUGAUUUUUGAAAGACUAUGUUUUGCUUGAUUCAUAUUUUUCUAUUUCUUUUGCAGGCUACAAUACAUCCUAGAUUAAAUAUAUAAGGCAUGCUGAUGCUAAGGCAUAAGCUAUGGAUCAAUGGAAAUAAAGUUUCUACAAAAGCAUAUUUAAAAAUAAUU
rnacentral:lncRNA from 1 species